GCAACCGAGGCUGACUGGUUGCGGCGUUCGCUUGGUAAGCGAGUGGUCCUGGGUUCAAUUCCCAUCUGUUCCC
rnacentral:tRNA from 1 species